rnacentral:rRNA from 1 species
GACGUAGGGCGCAAGCGUUUGUCCGGAUUUAUUGGGCGUAAAGAGCUCGUAGGCGGCUUGUUGCGUCGACCGUGAAAACCCGUGGCUCAACUGCGGGCUUGCGGUCGAUACGGGCGGGCUAGAGUUCGGUAGGGGGAGACUGGAAUUCCUGGUGUGAGCGGUGAAAUGCGCAGAUAUCAGGAGGAACACCGGUGGCGAAGGCGGGUCUCUGGGCCGAUACUGACGCUGAGACGCGAAAGCGUGGGGAGCAAACAGG